GGAUCCCAUCACAACUACGAAGUUAAGCGUGCUUGGGCGAGAGUAGUACUAGGAUGGGUGACCUCCUGGGAAGUCCUCGUGUUGCAUUCCCC
rnacentral:rRNA from 2 species